rnacentral:rRNA from 1 species
AGCGAACGCUGGCGGCAGGCUUAACACAUGCGAGUCGAGCGGGCACUUCGGUGUCAGCGGCAGACGGGUGAGUAACACGUGGGAACGUACCCUUCGGUUCGGAAUAACGCUGGGAAACUAGCGCUAAUACCGGAUACGCCCUUUUGGGGAAAGGUUUACUGCCGAAGGAUCGGCCCGCGUCUGAUUAGCUAGUUGGUGGGGUAAUGGCCUACCAAGGCGACGAUCAGUAGCUGGUCUGAGAGGAUGAUCAGCCACACUGGGACUGAGACACGGCCCAGACUCCUACGGGAGGCAGCAGUGGGGAAUAUUGGACAAUGGGCGCAAGCCUGAUCCAGCCAUGCCGCGUGAGUGAUGAAGGCCUUAGGGUUGUAAAGCUCUUUUGUCCGGGACGAUAAUGACGGUACCGGAAGAAUAAGCCCCGGCUAACUUCGU